rnacentral:lncRNA from 1 species
AUGAGAUGUGUAAAAUCACCUAAUUUACCAUGUAAUGGGAAUUCCGCCUUGCCUGCUUGUAAAGAUAAUGACGAUGUCAUCAUGGAUGGAAAAGCCAAGAUGGGCAUUACUGAUUCCUUUCUUCCGCCAUUACCGUUUUGGGACCAAGGAGGAAGUCUCAAUUCCCUCGUAAGGAUGCCAGUUGGGCUUUUCACUCUGCUAUUAUUACAUUGGAUCUCAUUCUUUGUCUCUUAACAAGUUUUGCUAGACCAGGAGAGCAGGAGGAUGCUGUUUCAUUUUGUUCAGCCAGAGCCCCUUCUGUAGACAUCUGGAAGGCCAUUGCAGCUGAACUAGCUAAACAUGAACUAGCUAAGCCUUUGAUCUGGUACAUCAUGGCUUUUCUGGUGUUCUUUUGUCUCCAAUAUGAUUGUGUUACCACAUGCCUUUGAUUUUCAUUUUUAAAUCUAUAUGGCAGAUAUGUAUAUGUCCUUUCAUCCAAUAGAUUCCAAGACAAUAAACAGAAAAUAUAUCCCAAAUCAUUUUUUAAAACCCCGAAAUAUUAACAAUAAAAUUGGAACAUAAAAGUACUACAGCCUAAGACAUUUCUCGAAUUAAAAUGUCUGAGAAAAUUAAAAUAUAUAAUAUAGGUUGUCAGGUGUCACCACCAUUCUUCAGAAUAGCCAUUUAAUAAUCAAAGCACCACCACAGAAAACCUGCUUCCUUUCUUUGUUCUAUAGCCCAUGUCUGAUUAGAAAGAUGCUGAGUUUUAGCAGGUGAUCACUACUCUCAUUUGGGAAACGAGACUCUUUCAGACAUUUUCCAAGUGAUAAUUUGGAAAGGAUCAGGAAAAAAUAUAUAUUUGUUUUGGUAGCUUUAGAUGGCCAAAAAAGUAACUCUAGCUCAAAUAAUGGUCUCAUUUUCUUUAGAUGCAGAUAUUUUUCAGGGGAUGUGAAUUCUAAUUGACAACUCCAUUCAUACGGAAACAUAUGAUGGAAAAUGGUGACAACAUGUUUGAAUUUAUUUGUUUUGCUGCAAAGCAAGCAAUGUAUAACUCAUUCUUUAAAUGUAGGAGUGAUAACUGUCUCCAUUAACACAUCAUCAGAUGCUUUUUUCUCUCCUUAUGGCUGAUGGUGGUUUCACAAGGAGAUUUCUGCAGCAAUAUAGUCUGAAGCAACCCAGAUGGUUCUGUUCAAACACAAUUGGACACAGUCUUUAUAGUAAUUGCACGGCCUGCUUUUUUCCUAAUUUAUUUGAAUCUGAAGGGUUUCUUUUCAUUGUUGCUUUAGAUUUUUAAAGUCAAGCCACAUCUGUUUUAUACAACAGAUCAUUCUGAAAGAGAGCAAGGCAGUCUAUGAAAGAUACUGCAGGUCUAUGAUUACUAUUGCUCAAUUUCUUUGCAAUCCAAAGCAAUAAAUUGAAAUCCAAAGAGACAAUUUAUGUGUGAACGAAUGUACCCACAGUAGCACCCAUCCUUGAACAGACAAGCCUCUCUUCAGUUGCAAAAUGAUUUGCCUUUCUGACU